GUGCUUCUGUGGCUCCCAAGCACGAUGGUCGGGUGUUCACGAGGGUGUCGUGAGAUGCACCUCCCUCAAACCUUGUUACAAGGUUGGCAUGUUACCCGCCUGAUG
ensembl:snoRNA